rnacentral:tRNA from 1 species
UGCCCCAUGGCCAAGUGGUAAGGCAAUGGACUCUGACUCCAUUAUCGCUAGUUCGAAUCUAGCUGGGGCAACCA